rnacentral:rRNA from 1 species
GAUGAACGCUGGCGGCGUGCCUAAUACAUGCAAGUCGAGCGAACAGAUAAGGAGCUUGCUCCUUUGACGUUAGCGGCGGACGGGUGAGUAACACGUGGAUAACCUACCUAUAAGACUGGGAUAACUUCGGGAAACCGGAGCUAAUACCGGAUAACAUAUUGAACCGCAUGGUUCAAUAGUGAAAGGCGGCUUUGCUGUCACUUAUAGAUGGAUCCGCGCCGUAUUAGCUAGUUGGUAAGGUAACGGCUUACCAAGGCAACGAUACGUAGCCGACCUGAGAGGGUGAUCGGCCACACUGGAACUGAGACACGGUCCAGACUCCUACGGGAGGCAGCAGUAGGGAAUCUUCCGCAAUGGGCGAAAGCCUGACGGAGCAACGCCGCGUGAGUGAUGAAGGUCUUCGGAUCGUAAAACUCUGUUAUCAGGGAAGAACAAAUGUGUAAGUAACUGUGCACAUCUUGACGGUACCUGAUCAGAAAGCCACGGCUAACUACGUGCCAGCAGCCGCGGUAAUACGUAGGCGGCAAGCGUUAUCCGGAAUUAUUGGGCGUAAAGCGCGCGUAGGCGGUUUUUUAAGUCUGAUGUGAAAGCCCACGGCUCAACCGUGGAGGGUCAUUGGAAACUGGAAAACUUGAGUGCAGAAGAGGAAAGUGGAAUUCCAUGUGUAGCGGUGAAAUGCGAGAGAUAUGGAGGAACACCCAGUGGCGAAGGCACUUUCUGUCUGUAACUGACGCUGAUGUGCGAAAGCGUGGGGAUCUACAUGUAUUUGAUUUCCCUAG